GGCUAGACCUUCCACUGGCUCUUGGAAAACGACGUGAGCUACUGCGUCAAUCUGGCCUCCUCCCACCAGAAGGAGCGAGAGAGGACCUCAGUCCCCGCUGAUGGCCAACAAGGACGCCUUCUCCCGCUACUCCUCAGCAUACUCUGACUUUGUUGAGGCAGUCAGGUUCCACCAGGCGUUUGAGGAGGUGCGGGUGAGGUUCCUUCAGCCCGGUCAGUAGGGACAGGCACUUGUUGGCUUCGGGGACUUAAAAUUCGAGACCCUCGAGUGCCUGUACAAGUCUGAGGACUCCAAAAAGAUCCGAUUUGUCAACUACCUCCGGAGGACGACAACAGCACCUGGUACGCAGAUGGAGAACGCUGUCCGGUACAUCAGAGGCAGAGACAGACAGAGGACCAGGACAGCCUUUUGUUUU